UACGGGGGGGGCAAGCGUUGUUCGGAAUUACUGGGCGUAAAGGGUGCGUAGGCGGCUUUCUAAGUUGGAUGUGAAAACUAUGGGCUCAACCCAUAGCCUGCAUCCAAAACUGGAGAGCUUGGGUUCUGGAGGGGAAAGCGGAAUUCCUGGUGUAGCGGUGAAAUGCGUAGAUAUCAGGAGGAACACCGGUGGCGAAGGCGGGUCUCUGGGCCGAUACUGACGCUGAGGAGCGAAAGCGUGGGGAGCGAACAGG
rnacentral:rRNA from 1 species